rnacentral:rRNA from 1 species
UACAGAGGGGGCAAGCGUUGUUCGGAAUUACUGGGCGUAAAGGGCGCGUAGGCGGCCGCCUAAGUCAGACGUGAAAUCCCUCGGCUCAACCGGGGAACUGCGUCUGAUACUGGGUGGCUUGAAUUCGGGAGAGGGAUGCGGAAUUCCAGGUGUAGCGGUGAAAUGCGUAGAUAUCUGGAGGAACACCGGUGGCGAAGGCGGCAUCCUGGACCGGUAUUGACGCUGAGGCGCGAAAGCCAGGGGAGCAAACGGG